AUUGAACGCUGGCGGCAGGCCUAACACAUGCAAGUCGAGCGGAUGACGGGAGCUUGCUCCUUGAUUCAGCGGCGGACGGGUGAGUAAUGCCUAGGAAUCUGCCUGGUAGUGGGGGACAACGUUUCGAAAGGAACGCUAAUACCGCAUACGUCCUACGGGAUAAAGCAGGGGACCUUCGGGCCUUGCUCUACCAGAUGAGCCUAGGUCGGAUUAGCUAGUCGGUGGGGUAAUGGCUCACCAAGGCGACGAUCCGUAACUGGUCUGAGAGGAUGAUCAGUCACACUGGAACUGAGACACGGUCCAGACUCCUACGGGAGGCAGCAGUGGGGAAUAUUGGACAAUGGGCGAAAGCCUGAUCCAGCCAUGCCGCGUGUGUGAAGAAGGUCUUCGGAUUGUAAAGCACUUUAAGUUGGGAGGAAGGGCAGUAAGUUAAUACCUUGCUGUUUUGACGUUACCGACAGAAUAAGCACCGGCUAACUCUGUGCCAGCAGCCGCCGUAA
rnacentral:rRNA from 1 species